ensembl:snRNA U6 U6 spliceosomal RNA
GUGUGCUCGCUUCGGCCACACACACACCAACACUGAAAUAGGGCGGGGGAGAGGAGCGUGGCCCCUGCACAGGGAUGACACAGAGAGUCUUGAAAUGUUCCAUGUUUAA